rnacentral:lncRNA from 1 species
UCCGACCACCUUGGAAUCUAAAUCAGAAGUCCUAGACAAAAAUUGGUAUUUCAGAGCGAACUGUGCUGACAAAAUUUUCAUCGGAGUUCUUUUACCAACAAUAUUAACCAAAAUCAAACUUUGAUCAAAACUUCAAAGCUAAAACACCUAAUGACACAAACUCAAAAUGACAGCCUCCAAACCCAAACCAAUCAUCCCACUAAACCAAAAUGACCCUUCCAAUGAUGAUAGAAUUGAAGGAAUCCUCAUAUGACAUAUGAAUCUUCAUAUGUUGGCUAAAGUCAACUCUUUCACUUCGUCAGCCUCCAAUAGGGAAAAACCAACUCGAAACUCUCCCGGCUACCUCAGUAAAUGUUCUCAUCAAUCCAUCACCACUGAGAAAAAGUUAUUGGAAAGGAACAAAAUAAUAAAAGCAUGCAAAAAAUACAGAAAUGACCUGAAAUAGCAUUACAGUUUCACAUAAAGAUCCACACUUCACUUUAUGUAAUUUAUUUGCCUGACAACCUUAUUAUAGAGUCAUUUUUACUUUCACACCCACUAAAUCUUUUUCUAUUUUUUGUUGUGCUCUUUCUCCUCUACUUGCAUUUUCCAUUCGAUAUAAUAUCAUUUUAUAGCCUCGUAUCAUUAUUACAAAAAAUAAUUUUUAGUGGUAAUUAAUUAUUAAUUAUGGUUAAAUAUAUAUUUUUAACGGUAAUUAAUAUUCUUUGUAUAUGUGCCUAAAGUCUUUAGCAAAAUUGAAUCAAAUGACUACUAUAAUAAAUACUUUAGCAUUCUUUAUUAAUAUGUUUAUUUAUUACGCCUUAAAGUAGCUUUUGUUGUAGUGUAAAUAUUUUUGUUUUGUUCAUCAAUAUUAGCAUACUAUUUUUCACUCCAAAUAAAUUUACAUUACCUCCAACAAUUUUAAUUUUGCCAACAUCAUCAACAUUCAUCUGAUCUUCUUCUUUUGCUCCAUUUCUUGCUUUCUUUCUUUGUAUGUUUCCUCUCAAUACAAGUUGUUAAACACAUAUUACAAUUUCCUAGGUAAGUGGGUUUGGAAUAAAAAGGCAAGCUCCCUCUUCCAAAGCUUUCUUUAGUGAUAGUCCGUUUUCUUCGUCACAUACAAUUGCAUAAUAAUUUCAAGAACAUAGAAAUUAGAAUUGAAUUAUAUUAUACACUAUGUGAUAGUUAGUGACACAAAUAAUCACUAAAUUUUUCAUUAUAAAGGUAAUUUUACAAAAUAAUCAUAUAUAAUAUAUUUAAUAAAAUAGAAAUUAGUGAUAAAUAAUUUAUUAUCACCAAACAAAAAAAAUAGUGCCACUUACAUUAAAGAAUCCGGAAAGCCUGAUGGCUUUAAAGGAUAGGGGAGACUUUGCUCGUGAUAGAUGUCAUAAGUGAAAGAAUCAGAACAAUAUACUCAAGGCCCUUGAGUCAAGAGUUUAGAAGAAUCCAAAUCCGCUGAAUGGACACUGAUGAUUAUCGCAUCAAUUUUUUUAUUUUCUUUGGAGAACAUUGACAUUGCUUCUGAAUACGUAUCGAUCGUGAUAAUUGCAUCAAUAUACCUUAAAAGUUAGUGAAAAAAAUAUGCACAAAAUUAUCUCGAUAAUUUUUAAUUUCUCAUAUAUAAUUCAAUUGUAAUUUUCUAGUUAUAUUGUUAUUUUUUAGUUUACGCAAUUGCACGUAUGAAUAAAUUAUAUUGUUAUCAAUGUGAGGAAUCAUAGACAAGUUUACCUAUAAAGCUAUAUACAGUUCUAUUAAGGAUAAGUAAUUGAAUAUAUAUGUGUCAAUUGGAGAAGUAAAAUAAUGUUACGUUAACAAGUGUUAUCAUCAUGAUAUUUUAUGUUUGUAAGUUAUUUUAUAGCAUGACCGUACUUUUUAGUAUGUUAAAAAUUGUCUAUUGUCUUAACAAAUUAAAAUAGAGAAAGAAAUUGAAUGAUUAUUAUAAUGGAACAAAAAUAAAAACAGUAUUUGAGCGUAGUAAUUUCGACAUGUUUUUUUGUACAAGGUAGAUUAUUGGUCGAUAAAAAUUAACACCAAACUAAUUAAGGAUAUUGAGAACAAUGCUACAUUGAAAAACAAUUUAGUGGAUCAGUUGUAUUACAUAAGCUAAUUUCCAAAACACAUGAAAAUUAAAGAAUAAAAAAGAAAGCGAGACGAAGAAGAAAAAUAUGGAGCUUAACCCGCUAAUUAUAUCACCUUAUCGUACUAUAUUAAGCAUUUCUUUCUACUUUUACCCUGCUCCAUUGAACAUUCUUAAAAUUUCUUUUACUUUUUUAUACUUUUAUUUUGUAAUGUUUUACUUUAUUUUGCUUUUUUUUUAAAAAUAGUAUCCAAUCAAACACAUAUUACUAGAAAAAUUAUCAAGAUUCUCUAAAAGUGUGCAAAUAUAUAUUUACUAAUAUUAUAAUGCAUAUUCAGAAGAUAAAUAAAUGACAUCUUCAAAAUUUUUAGUUCACGUAGUUUAAUAUACUAGGUUAGUCAUCACUUGUUGAAAAAAAUGAAGAAUCAUCAAAUAAGUUUAGUUUCCACCUCUCUAAAAUAAAACUGAAAAAAUAGAAAAGAAAUUCCAUGAAUUCUGUUAAUUAUAUACUAUGAAAAGGAUAUUGACGAUUUUUAAUUUCUUCACUCAACUACAUCUAAUUUAUCUUUAUAUAUAUAAUUCUGUUAUUAAACUAUAUGAAAUUAGAAGACGAAUAAAAUAGGGAGAAGAGAAAAAUUUCUUAUUCAUAAGUAUAUUAAGGAUUCAUUGAUCUUUCACAAGUUUUAUUUACAAUGAAGGAAAACCCUUUAUUUAUAGGGGAAACCUUACUUGGUCCCCAUGUAGGAUUCCUAACCAUGUCGUACAACGACUCCACAGAAUUAGACAUUCACUAUAAUACAAAUUGUUCAUAACACUCCCCCUUGAAUGUCCAUAAAUUAUGUGCCUCGUUAAAAGCUGAAAGCCACUUGACUGUAAGGAGAGGACUUCCAGGGCUCGAUAUACGGCUGUGUCUUACUAGAUAAAACUCAGUAGGAAAAAAUCUAGUGAAGGAAAAAAAGUACACAUAUCUAAUAAUACGCAUUAUGGAUACCUCAUUAAAAACCUUACAAGGAAAAUCCAGUGGAACAAAACCUUGUGAGGAAAAAAGAGUACAUCGCGUAUUAACUCCCUUUAAUGACAACAUUAAUUCAGAGACUAGAAUCUUUGUUUUCCAAGCUUGUGCAGCAUCUUCUUGAAAGUUGUAGUUGGUAGAGAUUUAGUGAAUAAAUCAACAAUAAUAUUACUUGAACAGACCUCUUACAUGUUGAUAUCCCCAUUCUUGGGAGCUUAUGAGUGUAGAAAAACCUUGACGAAAUAUGCUUUCUUCUAUAUGCUUUUAUAAAUCUUCCCUUGAGGGUCAAAGAUUUCUGCAAGAUCCUUACUUCAACUUUUUUAAGCAAAUAAUCUAUUGCCAAGAUUUUCAAUUCUAAUCAUCAACUUGCAUAAUAAUACUUGUAUAUGCUCUAUGCAUUUUGAAUCUAUUUAAUCCUUAUGAGGAUGAUAAAUAAGUUUUUAAAAAACUUGUAUAUGCUUUAGAUUUUGGACCCAUUGGAUAUUUUCAUAUCAAUUUUGUCAAGUAACAACAUUUAAUAUUAGAUGUAUGACAUUUUCUAGUGCCUAGAAUGCAAGUCAAAUAAGCUUUACGGACUUCUUCACACCCACCGUGCAAUGCAUGCGGUUAUUGAUAGACAGAAGAAUCAUGGUAUCCACUUCCGGGUAUUAGCAAAAGCGUUACGUAUGUCUGGUGGAGAUCAUAUUCACUCUGGUACCGUAGUAGGUAAACUUGAAGGUGAAAGAGACAUAACUUUGGGCUUUGUUGAUUUACUGCGUGAUGAUUUUGUUGAACAAGAUAGAAGUCGCGGUAUUUAUUUCACUCAAGAUUGGGUCUCUUUACCAGGUGUUCUACCUGUGGCUUCAGGAGGUUACCAAGAUGCA